GGAGUUGACCAAACAGUCGUCGCUUUUAUGGUGUUCUUGCAGAAACAAGCACAGUAAGAGAGGAGGAAAGUCCGGGCUCCAUAGGGCAAGGGUGCCAGGUAACACCUGGGGGAUGCAAAUCCACGACAAGUGCAACAGAAAGCAAACCGCCGAUGGCUCGCAUAAUGCGGAAUCAGGUAAGGGUGAAAGGGUGCGGUAAGAGCGCACCGCGCAGCUGGUAACAGUUCGCGGCACGGUAAACUCCACCUGGAGCAAGGCUAAAUAGGGGUUCACAUGGUGCGGCCCGUACUGAACCUGGGUAAGCUGCUUGAGUCAGCUCGCGAGAGCUGACCUAGAUGAAUGACUGUUCAAGACAGAACCCGGCUUAACGGUUAACUCCAAUC
rnacentral:RNase_P_RNA from 1 species